CCUACGGGUGGCAGCAGUGGGGAAUAUUGGGCAAUGGAGGCAACUCUGACCCAGCAACGCCGCGUGAGUGAUGAAGGUCUUCGGAUUGUAAAACUCUUUAAUUGGGGACGAAGAAAGUGACUGUACCCGCAGAAUAAGCCUCGGCUAACUACGUGCCAGCAGCCGCGGUAAUACGUAGGAGGCAAGCGUUAUCCGGAAUGACUGGGCGUAAAGGGUGCGUAGGUGGUUUAACAAGUCAGAUGCGUAAUUCCUGGGCUCAACCUCGGAACUACAAUUGAAACUGUUGGGCUUGAGUGCAGGAGAGGUGAAUGGAAUUCCUAGUGUAGCGGUGGAAUGCGUAGAUAUUAGGAGGAACACCAGCGGCGAAGGCGAUUCACUGGACUGUAACUGACGCUGAGGCACGAAAGCGUGGGGAGCAAACAGGAUUAGAUACCCUAGUAGUC
rnacentral:rRNA from 1 species